rnacentral:rRNA from 1 species
UUGGUGAGGUAAAGGCUUACCAAGGCUUCGAUCAGUAGCUGGUCUGAGAGGACGACCAGCCACACUGGGACUGAGACACGGCCCAGACUCCUACGGGAGGCAGCAGUGGGGAAUUUUGGACAAUGGGGGAAACCCUGAUCCAGCCAUGCCGCGUGAGUGAAGAAGGCCUUCGGGUUGUAAAGCUCUUUCAGCCGGAACGAAACGGUCACGGUUAAUACCUGUGAUCACUGACGGUACCGGAAGAAGAAGCACCGGCUAACUACGUGCCAGCAGCCGCGGUAAUACGUAGGGUGCGAGCGUUAAUCGGAAUUACUGGGCGUAAAGCGUGCGCAGGCGGUUUUGUAAGUCAGAUGUGAAAUCCCCGGGCUUAACCUGGGAACUGCGUUUGAAACUACCAAGGCUA